AUUGAACGCUGGCGGCAUGCCUUACACAUGCAAGUCGAACGCGAAAGGGGGCAACCCUGAGUAGAGUGGCGAACGGGUGAGUAAUGCAUCGGAACGUGUCCUGUAGCGGGGGACAACCCCGAGAAAUCGGGGCUAACACCGCAUACGUCCUACGGGAGAAAGUGGGGACCGCAAGGCCUCACACUAUACGGGCGGCCGAUGCCGGAUUAGCUAGUUGGUGAGGUAAAGGCUCACCAAGGCGACGAUCGUAGCUGGUCUGAGAGGAUGAUCAGCCACACUGGGACUGAGACGCGGCCCAGACUCCUACGGGAGGCAGCAUUGGGGAAUUUUGGACAAUGGGCGCAAGCCUGAUCCAGCCAUGCCGCGUGGGUGAAGAAGGCCUUCGGGUUGUAAAGCUCUUUCGGCCGGGACGAAAUCGCUCUCGCUAAUAUCGGGAGUGGAUGACGGUACCGGAAUAAGAAGCACCGGCUAACUACGUGCCAGCAGCCGCCGUAAGAC
rnacentral:rRNA from 1 species